rnacentral:lncRNA from 1 species
UUCAUAUAAUAAAGCAGAAAAUAUACAAAUCAUAAUAAUAGUGACACGGGGAAGAGGACGAAAGAAAAUCACAAUUCAAGAAUUUAUGCCUAUCCAUAUCGAAAGAAUUCUGCAGUAAUACCCUUCUUCUCUCUACCUCAUCAACACCUUCCCAUUCAAAAAAUAUGAAGGAAAAAUAAUCUAAUCGUUAACAUUAAUUGAGAAUAAUCUAAGUCCAUUCAUUAAAUCCAAUUAAGAUAUUGAUUUUAAGAUAUUUGAAUACAAAUCUUCUCAUGCCAACAAUAAAGUAAGAAGCAACAAACCAAUUUACUAAUGAAUCAAGGGACUGAAGGGAGAAUAAGUUGAGAGGGGUGUGGAUAGAAAGAAUGAGAGGUGUACAUAGAAAUAAACUAAAGUGCGAGCAUUGAAAGAGUGUUGAGGGUGUUAUCUGAAGCAGUGUUGGUGGUGUAAAUAGUAUUUUGGCCUAUUAAUCGAAGAACUCUCUCAAACCUGGUACCAUUUGCAAAUGAUGUUUCACUAUUGAAAGCAAUAAAUAUGACACAAUCUGAAGAAGAACAACCUUGCCUUGUAAAUGGCUUCUUCUCUAAACACCCUCAAACCCAUAAAGAUCUUCAAAGAUAGUGGACAUACAAUCCCAGCCACAACCCCUGCUGGACUUAAACCGUUGCUAAUUGCGAGUUGCAAGUGAAUCUUCGCAACAGCCACCGCGUGCAACCCCAUUUAAUUAAUUUUCUGCGCACCACUUUCAAAUCGAUGUUCGACUCUCUAUAUAUUGCAACUUCAAUUAUAAGAGCAUGACAUUACACAUUUGCAUGUGUCAGUAGUAAUAGGAUGAUGCAUGAAUAUAAUUGGCCUUUCGGAAGAAGGAGAGGCGUA